GACGAACGCUGGCGGCGUGCUUAACACAUGCCAGUCGAACGGAAAGGCCCUGCUUUUGUGGGGUUCUCGAGUGGCGAACGGGUGAGUAACACGUGAGUAACCUGCCCUUGACUUUGGGAUAACUUCAGGAAACUGGGGCUCAUAUCGCAUAUGAUCUCCUGCUGCAUGUUGGGGGUUGGAAAGUUUCGGCGGUUGGGGAUGGACUCGCGGCUUAUCAGCUUGUUUGUGGGGUAGUGGCUUACGAGGGUUUUGACGGGUAGCCGGCCUGGGAGGGUGACCGGCGACAAUGGGACUAAGAGAGGGAGCAGAAGGCAACGGGAGGCAGCAGUGGGGAGUAUUGCAGAGCGGGCGGAAGCCUGAGGCAGAAAUGUUGGGAGCGGGAUAACGGGCUUCGGGUGGUAAACAAAUGUCGACUGAGACGAAGCGGGAGUGACGGUAAUGGGUAAAGAAGCAACGGCUAACUACGUG
rnacentral:rRNA from 1 species